rnacentral:rRNA from 1 species
AGAGUUUGAUCAUGGCUCAGGAUGAACGCUAGCGGCGUGCCUAAUGCAUGCAAGUCGAACGGGAACCUUUAGAUUCGUCUGAAGGGGAGAGUGGCGAACGGGUGAGUAACACGUUGGUGACCUACCCCAGAGAGGGGGAUAACCAUUGGAAACGAUGGCUAAUACCCCGGAUGUCCCUACGGUUAGAGAGUAGUGACUAAAGCUCCGGCGCUCUGGGAGGGGCCUGCGGCCCAUCAGCUAGUUGGUAGGGUAAUGGCCUACCAAGGCAAAGACGGGUAGGGGACGUGAGAGCGUGACCCCCCACACUGGUACUGAUACACGGACCAGAUACCUACGGGUAGCAGCAGCAAGGAAUAUUGCCCAAUGGACGAAAGUCUGAGGCAGCAACGCCGCGUGGAGGAUGAAGGCCUUCGGGUUGUAAACUCCUUUUCUGGGGGAAGAGAAAGGACGGUACCCCAGGAAUAAGUCUCGGCUAACUACGUGCCAGCAGCCGCGGUAAAACGUAGGAGGCGAGCGUUAUCCGGAUUUACUGGGCGUAAAGCGCGUGCAGGCGGUUUCUUAAGUCGGACGUGAAAGCUCCUGGCUCAACUGGGAGAGGUCGUUCGAAACUAGGGAACUUGAGGAUGGUAGAGGAGAGUGAAAUUCCCGGUGUAGUGGUGAAAUGCGUAGAUAUCGGGAGGAACACCAGUGGCGAAGGCGGCUCUCUGGGCUAUUCCUGAC